GAAUUUUCAGAUGCAAUGAUUAUAAAAAAUAUGGACGUUUUUGCAAACAAAAUAGUAAAGUAAAAACAAAGAGCAAGCUUUUGAGUCAAAAGAACUUUUAUUGAUAGAAAUUUAGCCUAUAAAUAGGCAUUUAUCUCGGGAAGCAAUUCCUAGAAAUAGGUAAUUGCAAAAACAAAAACAAAAGAGUUUUACAAGAAUGGCAAUGUGAAUACGGAUUUCCAUCAGGUUCUAAUUUUGCUAUAAC
rnacentral:lncRNA from 1 species